rnacentral:rRNA from 1 species
UACGAAGGGGGCUAGCGUUGUUCGGAAUUACUGGGCGUAAAGGGCGCGUAGGCGGCCUUCUAAGUCAGACGUGAAAUCCCCCGGCUUAACCUGGGAACUGCGUCUGAUACUGGAGGGCUUGAGUAUGGGAGAGGGAUGUAGAAUUCCAGGUGUAGCGGUGAAAUGCGUAGAUAUCUGGAGGAAUACCGGUGGCGAAGGCGGCAUCCUGGACCAUUACUGACGCUGAGGCGCGAAAGCUAGGGGAGCAAACGGG